UUAUCGGUUCAUACUUACACAACAAAAUAAAUUGGAAGUUUUUGUUUUUGUUAACCAUCUGAAAUCCUCUGCCAAAUUUUAUUAAAAUCGCUUCAGAUAUGGCAUAUUUCGUGUUUUGCUCAUUGGGAUCAAGAGGAGAAACUUUUAGUUCCCUUGGACACUCUAUUGUCCAUUCACAAGUCUGCCGAAAGCAGUUUAUUUUUAAACGCGACAAAAGUUGUUGCUCAAAUGCACAGAGGUCCCAUGUUUGAGUAAUAUUAGGAUGAUGAAGUUAAAAUUGCUGAAUUUGAAUUAAGAUGGCUUUCCCUCUUCGUUUGGGUAUCAGAGACUGAAGCGGUGAGAACUUGCAACAGGGCAUUAAAUAAAGCUCUCCCAAUAAGAUAAGAUCCCAAUUAUCACGAAAUUCUUUCGGUUUUUUUUUGUAUGUCCAUGCAUUUUAUUAAUUUUUUUUAAGUGAAACAUUGACUGAUAUUGGAAUGACGUGGAUUUAUAUUUAAAAUUAUACAUAUUUUCGUUUGAAUGUAUAAAAAAUCUUCUGAAGAAAUUAUAUCUUAGCAAAAUAAAUGUUUGUGUAUAUGCAUUAAGAUGGAGGUAUUUUUCACAAUUAAAGUACUCCGGAUCAUUUUGGCAAUGAAGAAUCUUACCGUAGAGGGUGAAAUUUCCAUUUGAGCUUUUUGACGUCCCGCAUUCGAAGAAUUUGCCGCACGAGG
rnacentral:sRNA from 1 species